GCUUUCAUGGUGUAGUGGUCAGCACGCUCGACGCGUAUUCGAGAGGUUCGUGGUUCGAGUCCCGGUGAGGGUA
rnacentral:tRNA from 1 species